GUGCCACGACAAGAAUUUGAUGUGAAUGAGGCACUGAAGUUGGACGAUGAACUCAUUGCAGCCGCAUCAGAGAUCUUAGUGUUGAAAACCAGACAGAAAAAAACAAAAUAAGGAGAUGCAGAGGACACACAACAAUGUCUAACAAAGCCUCUUUAGGGUGCAUAUCCCAACAUAUCAACUUCAAAUAUUUCAGGAAAGUGG
rnacentral:lncRNA from 1 species